AGCGAACGCUGGCGGCAGGCCUAACACAUGCAAGUCGAACGAACCCUUCGGGGUUAGUGGCGGACGGGUGAGUAACACGUGGGAACGUACCUUUAGGUUCGGAACAACACAGGGAAACUUGUGCUAAUGCCGAAUGUGCCCUUCGGGGGAAAGAUUAUCGCCUUUAGAGCGGCCCGCGUCUGAUUAGCUUGUUGGUGAGGUAAAGGCUCACCAAGGCUUCGAUCAGUAGCUGGUCUGAGAGGAUGAUCAGCCAUACUGGGACUGAGACACGGCCCAGACUCCUACGGGAGGCAGCAGUGGGGAAUCUUGCGCAAUGGGCGAAAGCCUGACGCAGCCAUGCCGCGUGAAUGAUGAAGGUCUAGGAUUGUAAAUUCUUUCACCGGGAAGAUAAUGACGUACCCGGAGAAGAAGCCCCGGCUAACUCGUGCCAGCAGCCG
rnacentral:rRNA from 1 species